UACGUAGGGGGCAAGCGUUGUCCGGAAUCAUUGGGCGUAAAGCGCGUGUAGGCGGCUCGGUAAGUCUGCUGUGAAAGUCCAGGGCUCAACCCUGGGAUGCCGGUGGAUACUGUCGAGCUCGAGUCCGGAAGAGGAGAGUGGAAUUCCUGGUGUAGCGGUGAAAUGCGCAGAUAUCAGGAGGAACACCCGUGGCGAAAGCGGCUCUCUGGGACGGUACUGACGCUGAGACGCGAAAGCGUGGGGAGCAAACAGG
rnacentral:rRNA from 1 species